CUGGAUUGUUUUUGUUCACGAAAAUCAAGUACAGCAGCUCUACGUCCCAGGUUCUCAGGAUACCCUGAACUUACACUUUUCAGAACCUCAUUGGCCUCCACGCUUAUAUUUCUUGUCACUUCUCCCUGUCAACGUGAGCACCACUGCAGCUGGAGAAGGGCAGCUGAUACUAAAAGCUCUAAGGCUAAGCGGGUUGAAUCAUGAGAUUCCAGGAACUGUUGCUUCAGAAAAAGCUCGCAUUGUUGAAUUAACCUCUUCUCAUUUCCAUCGC